GGAAUUUCUUAAUGCUCCGCACGAUACCCAAGAACAGACAAACAGGAGGUUUGUCUGAGGAGCCUCUGAGCCAGGAUGGCGAAUAGGCUCCGCUUCCGUAAACAGCCGGUAACCUUUUACGGAGUAUUUAGAAAUUCCUCUUUUCGGAG
rnacentral:ncRNA from 1 species